CGUGAGGGCUAUCUGGCUGCGACAUCUGUCACCCCAUUGAUUGCCGGGGUUGAUUGGGCUGAUCUGGCUGGCUAGGCGGGUGUCCCCUUCCUCCCUCACCACUCCGUCCAUAUGCGCCCCUCCCGAAGCUGCGCACUCGGUCAAAGGGGAGGACCUUCCCGGAAUAGAGGAGGACGGCUCUUCGGUCAAGGGUAUGCGAGUAGCUGCUCUCCCCCUGCUAGAAUCUCUGAACAAGCUCUCAACAUCAUCAAUUAUUUAUUGCCAAGUGUGGUGCAAGCCUUUAAUCCCACCA
rnacentral:snRNA from 1 species